GGGGAAUUUUGGACAAUGGGCGAAAGCCUGAUCCAGCCAUGCCGCGUGCAGGAUGAAGGCCUUCGGGUUGUAAACUGCUUUUGUACGGAACGAAAAGCCUCUUUCUAAUAAAGAGGGGUCAUGACGGUACCGUAAGAAUAAGCACCGGCUAACUACGUGCCAGCAGCCACGGUAAUACGGAGGGUGCGAGCGUUAUCCGGAUUUACUGGGUUUAAAGGGUGCGUAGGUGGGCUUAUAAGUCAGUGGUGAAAUCUCCGAGCUUAACUUGGAAACUGCCGUUGAUACUAUAGGUCUUGAAUUAUCUGGAGGUUAGCGGAAUAUGUCAUGUAGCGGUGAAAUGCUUAGAUAUGACAUAGAACACCAAUUGCGAAGGCAGCUUACUACAUAUAAAUUGACGCUGAGGCACGAAAGCGUGGGGAUCAAACA
rnacentral:rRNA from 1 species